UGCAGAAUCCCGUGAACCAUCGAGUCUUUGAACGCAAGUUGCGCCUGAAGCCAUUAGGUUGAAGGCACGCCUGCCUGGGCGUCACGC
rnacentral:rRNA from 2 species